AGCGAACGCUGGCGGUAGGCUUAACACAUGCAAGUCGAGCGGGCAUCCUUGUGGUGUCAGCGGCAGACGGGUGAGUAACGCGUGGGAACGUGCCCUUCGGUUCGGAAUAACUCAGGGAAACUUGAGCUAAUACCGGAUACGCCCUUUUGGGGAAAGGUUUACUGCCGAAGGAUCGGCCCGCGUCUGAUUAGCUAGUUGGUGAGGUUAUGGCUCACCAAGGCGACGAUCAGUAGCUGGUCUGAGAGGAUGAUCAGCCACACUGGGACUGAGACACGGCCCAGACUCCUACGGGAGGCAGCAGUGGGGAAUAUUGGACAAUGGGGGCAACCCUGAUCCAGCCAUGCCGCGUGAGUGAUGACGGCCUUAGGGUUGUAAAGCUCUUUUCUCCGGGACGAUAAUGACGGUACCGGAGGAAUAAGCCCCGGCUAACUUCGUG
rnacentral:rRNA from 1 species